CUAUCUAGCUAUGUAUAUAUAUAACCAUGCAUAGUAGUGAAGCACUCAGUUGGCUGAUGGAGGUUUGUAGGGUGACUUCAACUUCCGUGGUGGCUUCUCUCCUUUGCCUUUAGGAGGAUCUUGGGGUGGUUUGCGUUCUGGGAAUGGUUUUCCUCCUUUACCGUUAUCAGCCUCCAUCAAAAUGUGCCCAGGGAGAGGAUCAUGUGGAGGCUUAUGCUCUGGGGGUGGUCUCUCACCAUGUUCCUUUGGAGGUUGCUGUGGCUCUUCAUGUUCAUGGGGUGGUUUAUGUUCCGGCAGUGGCUUCUCUCCUUUGCCUUUAGGAGGCUCUUGGGGUGGUUUGCGUUCUGGGAAUGGUUUUCCUCCUCUACCCUCAUCAUCCUCCAUCAAAAUGUGUCCAGGGCGAGGAUCAUGAGGAGGCUUAUACUCUUUGGGGGGUUUCUCACCAUGUUCCUUUGGAGGUUGCUGUGGCUCUUCAUGUUCAUGGGGUGGUUUAUGUUCCGGCAGUGGCUUCUCUCCUUUACCCUUAGGAGGCUCCUGGGGUGGUUUAUGCUCUGGAAAUGGCUUUCCUCCUUUACCUUCAUCAUCCUCCAUCAAAAUGUGUCCAGGGUGAGGAUCAUGAGGAGGCUUAUCCUCUUUGGGUGGUUUCUCACCAUGUUCCUUUGGAGGUUGUUGUGGUCCUUCAUGUUCUGGAGGUGGUUUCUCUCCCUUACCCUUAGGAGGCUCUUGGGGUGGUUCGUGUUCUAGAGGUGGCUUCUCUCCCUUACCUUUAGGAAGCUCUUGGGGUGGUUUCUCACCAUGUUCCUUUGGAGGUUGUUGUGGUCCUUCAUGUUCAUGGGGUGGUUCAUGUUCUGGAGGUGGCUUCUCUCCCUUACCCUUAGGAGGCUCUUGGGGUGGCUUCUCUCCCUGACCUUUAGGAGGCUCUUGCUGCGGUUUAUGCUCUGGGAAUGGUUUCCCUCCUCUACCCUCAUCAUCCUCUAUCAAAAUGUGUCCAGGAUGAGGAUCAUGUGGAGGUUUCUGCUCCGGUGGUGGCUUUUCACCCUUUCCUCUAGGUGGCUCUUGUGGCUCCUCAUGUUCAGGAGGUGGUUUAUCGCCUUUACCCCUAGGAGGCUCAUGAGGUGGUUCUUGUUCUGGAGGUGGCUUCUUGGGAGGCCCGUGUGGGCCCUCAUGGGAUGGUUCAGGUUCAUGCCUAGGCCUGGGAUCGCCACCAGCCUGAAACUGAUCAGCAAGUGAGGGUGUUGUGGUGCUGAUGACCACAACUCCCAGGAAAAACAAGACUAGCAAGUAUUUAGGAUACAUGUUGGCUUCGAGCUUUAGUGAUGCAAAACUUGUGAGGAUCGAGUGGCCUUUUAUAGCAGAUCAUUGGGGCCUACGUUACAUUACUACGUCUGUCAUGUUCCAUAGUGAGGUCCAUUCAUGAGUCCAACUGCGUUGAAAAAUGUGACAAAAAUGUUUUUUAGUAAUAUUUAUUUAUAUUUUUCAAAGAAUAUAAAGUUUGAAGCUCUUUCUCCACUGAGAGGUCAAAUAAUUUCUGUGGUAGCAUUAUCAUGCUUGCUUCUUAUUGGCUAGAAUUGCGUCUGGACUUUUAGCUUUCCAUUUCACACCGGAUCUCAAACGGAUAAAUUAUUGUUGGCAGAAAGCAUAUGCAGUAGGAAAUAGGAAAUAGCGUGAGUAUUAUAAAAGUUGAAUUGACCUUUUUGUCUUUUUCUUUUUCAUCCCAUAGGCUUCGAUUACGUGAUGGAAAUAAGUUUGUUUUUUCCCCACUUUCCGUCAAAUAUUUUACCACUAGGAAAGUGUAGAUGGGCAUGGAUAAAAAUUUUAUAAUGCAUUUCUCCAUGAAAAGAAUUUUAUAUGCAUGAAUUCCCUACUGUGGGCUAUCAACUAGUUUUUUCUUUCUUUCUUUUUUUUUUUUUUAAAUUGGUAGCUAAAUGCAUAAAUACAUUUUUAUAUUUUAUAAAAAAAAUUCAUUAAAUAUUUUAAUUUAUAAAACUAUGCCGAUUAAAUAUUUCAACUAAUAAAAUUUUUCAAUUGAAUAUUUCAACUUGUAAAAUUUAAUAUAUUAAAUAUUUAUUAAAUAGUUAAAAUAUGUGAAAGUUAUUAUCCCAAAAUUAUAAUAAAAAUACAUAAAAUUAAUUUUUUUUUUUACUUAUAGACUUUAAAAUGCAAAAAACUAUUAUUGUUGGUGUAGAAAAAUAUGAAAAUAUAUUAAAAUUCAUAACUUUAAAUACAUAAUAGAUCCUUACAAAAUUAGAGAUAUCGCAGGAUUUUUUAUUAUUGAAGUACAAGAAUAUAUUUAACCGUUAACAAUUAUUCUUACAUGAAUAACCACAUUAAAUGGAUUUAGUUCACUUUGCGGUAUAUGAACUAACUUACUUUUUCGGGGAAAAAAACUAACUUAUAAGUAUUUAUUAUAUGAGUAAGACAAGUAUAAUAAUAUAGAAAUUAAUUUCAUAGGGUGAAUGUAAUAAUUCAUUACGUAAUAUAUAGAUAAUAGCUUACUAAUCCAAGUCUUUGAUAGCUAUUGAUGAAUUCAUAAUUAUACAGGACAUAAUAAUUUUUGAUUUUUACUAAAAGUUAAUAAGUCAAAAAAAAUUUAUUUUCCAUAAUAAUUCACUAAUUUCAACUAAAAUUAUAAAUAAGAGUAAAUUGAUAAAUUAUGAAAUAAAACUUCAUUAAUAUAAUUUUUUUUAAGUUUCGUGUGAAAAUUGAACUGAAUAAUUAUUUUUAGAUUUAUAGGAUAUAUAUUAAACUUUUGAAAACGUAGUCUCAGGUGAUAUAUUUCGUGGUUGAAGUUGAAAAUUUUGACAAAUUCUUUUCUUGUUCUUUUUCAAACGAUUUUUUCUUCUUUUUCUUUUUUUUUUUCAACUGAGGAUGACAUGGUAUUGUGAAAAAAAAAAAGCAGACUGCUAAACAAAACUAACGACGGGGAUGAGAAUGACAACAAGAGAACUAGAUGCAGUGAAUAGCUCGCGAUGGAGACAAACAUCGAUUGAGAAAUAUAUUUUGUCCCCACGAAGUCGAAAAUUUUGACAAAUUGCCAACUCCCAUUUCUUUAGCAUUGUCAACUUUCUGGCUACUUUCCUUUAGUUGUUUCGAGAUUUAGAAAUUAAUUCCAUUAUUAGUAAUUUCGUUUCCGAGUUUUUGAAUCACAAAAUUUUAAUAAAAUAAUUUUAUAAGUUAAAGUAUUUAAUAAUGAAAAUUUUAUAAAUUGAAAUAUUUAAUAAAUCAAAUUAAAAAUUAAAAUUGUCACAAUAAUUUUAUAAAAAUUACAGAGUAACUUUAUGUAUUUAGUCGGAUAUAUUUAUUUAAAAAAAAUAUUCUGCAUGUUAUUUUUAGUUGGUUAAGAAAACAGUUUUUGUAAUAUUUGGACAAAAUGCAAAAUCAGAAACAAAGAUCUUUCACCAACAGUUUUCAUGAAAUCAAAUUGAUAGAUCAACACCAAAAAUUGUGUUGGUGAAUGAGAGCUAUAAUUAAUAAUUUAUCACAGAGCGUGUGAAUCCAAGCAAGAAUUUGGACAUAGAAAUCGGCCAUGGCGAACACAAUAAUGUCCAAGAAAGUACCAAAAAGCAAACAAAUUAACGAAAGGACGAGAGUUGAAAAGGUUGAAUUUCAUCCACCGGGAUUUCUUUUAUUUAUAUGUUUUUCUGUUUUUAUUUCACAAUAACGUACAGAGCAGAGACAGUGACUACCCACGUGCCAUGUUUGCUCUGUACAUGAUAUAUAUCUUGUGAUGGAUAUGAAUGUACCUUUGGGAAAAGUUUCUGCGUCUUUACAUGUUUGUCAACCUGCUAAAAUUGUCGGUCACAUUCAGAAUUGUGGAACUAAUACAUACCAAAAACAAAGCAUCCCCUUAAUAUUUUUAUCUUCUUUUUACAUUUAACGUGUUUUUAAUUUUAGUUGUCAAAUAAUUAAUUAUAGACAAAAUAAGCCUAAUUUAUAAUAGUCUUUUUUUUCUGAAAUCUAAUUUACAGUAAUCUAAUACAUAUAAAAAAAUUAAUAAAUUAUAAAUUAUUCUAAUAGGCCUGCCUAAUCAAAAAAGCAAAACUACCUUUGGAUUGGAAGAUUGUCUUCUAUCGAUGCAGAAAUGCAAUUAUUUUUAUUAUUAGUAUUAUUUUUUAAUGCAAAGUGAUGGAAGAAUGCUCACAUACUUUGACUCCACAGGACCACAUUAGUACCGCCUCGACAGGUAAUCACUCGAUUUAAUUUUUUCCAUGAUUUGGUGUAACUACCGCGGAUCUUUCCUUUUUUUUUUUUCUUGGUUUGAUUAUAUUUUGCUGAUUAAAUAUAUUUGACAUAAUAAAAAGAAUUAGUGUUUUUUCAUAGGAAAAACAGAUAAAAUGUUUUAAAAAAAAUAUAUAUUUUUUAAAAAAAUUAAAUAUGAGCUUCGUGUUUAAUCUAUCUUUUAUACAAAAAAAAAAUCAGAAACUAAUUCACAAAAAUGGAAAAACAUCAAAUUAAUAGUAAAAUAUAUUCUAUAUAAUAUAAGAUAUCUUAAUCUAUAAGUAAUUCUCUUUCUCAAAAAAAAAAAAAAANNNNNNNNNNNNAUAUAUAUAUAUAUAUAUAUAUAUAUUUUGUACAUGCUUAAAUUAAUUAAAGCUUGAGGGUGAGUGCAUAUGUAACCGUCCACAAGGACUCCAGUCCAAAUUGUCAUUCUCCUAGUGCAAAGUGGAGGAAAUAAAAUUGCACGUGAUAUUGUACAACAUAUACUCUGAUGUGUUACUAUUUUCCUUUUCCGACAUCUGAAUAUCAUCACGUGGUAAUCAUUUAAAACAAUUCUUACAAAAAAUUUAAUUAUGUUCUAUUAAGAAAUUCUACAAUCAAAUUAUUUUGUGAUAGAAUUUAGGUUGUAAUAGAAAAGAAGAAUAGGAUAUUAAUUAGGCGAUUGUUAUAAAUUUGGAAGUAAUAAAAUUUAUUUCUAUUGUUUGUAAUAAUUAAAAAAAAAAUCAGAUAACUUAUUUAACUUACUAUUUUUAAUAGUACCAUUGAAAUUUCUUUUUCUUUGUUUUAAAAAAAAUAUUGAAUUUUCUGUUUAAUCCAAUAGGUAAUAUUUUUUUUUAUAUAUAAAAGAAUUUAACUAUUCCAUAAUAUGUUAUGGAGUAUUAGUGAUUAAAUUAAAUUCUGUGGAAUUAAAUCUUUACAUUUCUUCAAAUUGCUAAUGGACUUAUUAACGAGUCAAUAAUUUAUUAUCAGCAAUAUCGGAAUAAGGAUUCAAUCCUGUUGAUGCCUUCUGUACGUGAUAGUUGCAUUGUGACUGGGUUCUUUUGAUCGUCAAAUUGCCACGCAUUAUAUAAUAAAGGAAAGAUAUAAAACCAUAAAAGAGUAACACUCAUUAUAUAUAUAACAGUAUUCAACAUAAGAACAACCAACUAGGGGCCGGUGCUCAGAUGGUACGUACAAGCCAAAAUACAAACACUAAAAGAACAGAAGACUAAACCUCCGUUUCUUAUUCCCAACAUUUUAUCUAUUAAUGCUGGUCAGUAACCAGACACUUGAUUAAUUAGUUCUCAGUUGGAGGCUUGUGCGGUGGCUUUUGGGGCGGCUUAUGGGGUGGCAGGUGUUUUAAUGGUGGUUUCUCUCCCUUUCCUUUAUAUGAAUCCUCAACUAACUCUUCCUCAGCCAAAAGAUGUCCAUGUGGUGGCUUGUGGGGUGGCUUGUGUUUUGGUACUGGUUUCUGUCCCUUUCCUUUAUAUGAAUCCUCGGCUAGCUCUUCCUCAGCCAAAAGAUGUCCAUGUGGCGGCUUAUGCUUUGGUGGUGGCUUAUUACCCUUAUGUGAGUCCUCUACAACCUCUGUAGCUAAAAGACGUCUGAGGGGUGGUUUGUGCUCUGGUGGUGGCUUGUGCGGUGGUUUGUGCUCGGAUGAUGGCUUUUGAGGUGGAAAAUUCUUAGGAGGUGGUUUCUCUCCCUUACCCUUAAAUGGCGGUUUUUGGAAGUCCUCUACGCUAUCCUCGCUUAAUAGGUGCCCAUGUGGUGGCUUGUGUGGUGGUUUGUGCUCUGGUGUUGGCUUUUGAGGUGGAAAAUUCUUAGGUGGUGGCUUUUGAGGUGGAAAAUUCUUAGGAGGUGGGUUCUCUCCCUUACCCUUAAAUGGUGGUUUUUGGAAGUCCUCUUCGCUAUCCUCACUUAAUAGGUGACCAUGUGGUGGCUUGUGUGGGGGGUUGUGCUCUGGGGGUGGCUUUUGAGGUGGGAAAUUCUUAGGUGGUGGCUUUUGAGGUGGAAAAUUCUUAGGAGGUGGGUUCUCUCCCUUACCCUUAAAUGGUGGUUUUUGGAAGUCCUCUUCGCUAUCCUCACUUAAUAGGUGACCAUGUGGUGGCUUGUGUGGUGGGUUGUGGUCUGGUGUUGGCUUUUGAGGUGGAAAAUUCUUAGGAGGUGGUUUCUCUCCCUUACCCUUGUAAGGUGGAUCAUGGACAUCCUCUACAUUAUCCUCACUUAACAGAUGACCAUGUGGUGGCUUGUGCUGUGAGUGGUGGUGAUCAUAAUGAUCAGCUAAUGAAGAAGAAAUGGAGAGAAUCACGACUGCUCCAAUAAGGAGCAACACUCGCAAGUUUUUAGAAGAGAACAUGUUUGA
rnacentral:lncRNA from 1 species